rnacentral:sRNA from 1 species
AUUAUGCUGGUCUCCAUGGCCGGGCCUCGGAGCCAAGACGAGAGAAAAUGCUGCUGUGAAGACCCAAUUAAAGCUUUCACAUAAAUGAAGCUACAGCUAUCAUGAUUUAGUGCCCCCAAAAGGAAGAACUUCAGUGGACAAGAAAGGACAUUUCUAGAAUGCUUGAGGCCUGGAAUUUAAACCUGAGCCACUAUCUGAAGCUAUUAAAUAAUAGAAGAAAAUGGAAUUGAAUAUGAUGUCAGCAUGGAACAAUCUAAUGAUUCAUUAAGAGUCAACCAUAAUGAUGGUGAAGAGUCAAAAACCAAUGCUCAAGUAUUUGAGCAUCUAACCUGUAUGGACUCCAGGGAUUCUUCCUUUGGACAAAAUGAUUCUCCUACAGUUUUGCCCAUCACUACUCCUGAAGCAAAUAAUUCACUCAUAUCACAGAAUAUACUAGGGCCCCUGACUCAGACACAGACUCUUUCUGCAGAGCAAUUCCAUCUAGUGGACCAAAAUGGGCAAGCUAUUCAAUAUGAACUUCAGUCAUUGGGGGAAUCCAGUGCACAAAUGAUGAUCGUUGCCAGCCCAACAGAAAAUGGACAGGUACUUCGUGUAAUUCCACCUACCCAGACAGGAAUGGCACAAGUGAUUAUACCUCAGGGGCAGCUUGUGGAUGUGAAUAGUCCUCGGGAUGUCCCUGAAGAGAAACCCACUGACAGAAACUUACCAACUGUAAGAGUGGAUACUCUAGCAGACAAUACCAGCAAUUACAUUCUUCAUCCUCAAACAUCCUUCACAUUGCCCAAAAAGUCAGUGACCAGAAUGCUGGAAGAACCCCUUCUGGCGCCUCUUCAGCCACUUUCCUCUAACACACCUAUAUGGGCCUGCCAUCUUAGGAGCUGUGAGGGAGUAGAGCUGUGGUAAUGGAGUGUCAGUAUGGG